rnacentral:rRNA from 1 species
CAUUAUCGUAUAACCGAGGUGCAAGGGCUGUUGCUGACCUUCAAAGGUCGUGCACGCCCAAGCACUCUCACACAUCCAUCUCUCACCCCCUUGUGCAUCGCCGCGUGGGCCCCCCCUUUGCAGGAGGGCUUGCGUUUUCACAUAAAACUUGAUACAGUGUAGAAUGUUUUCUUUUGCGGUCACACGCAAUCAAUACAACUUUCAACAACGGAUCUCUUGGCUCUCGCAUCGAUGAAGAACGCAGCGAAAUGCGAUACGUAAUGUGAAUUGCAGAAUUCAGUGAAUCAUCGAAUCUUUGAACGCACCUUGCGCCCCUUGGCAUUCCGAGGGGCACACCCGUUUGAGUGUCGUGAAAUCAUCAAAAACCUUUUUCUUUGAAAAGGAUUUUUGGACUUGGAGGUUCCAUGCUCGCUUUUGCCUUUGAAAGCGAGCUCCUCUGAAAUAAAUUAGUGGGGUCCGCUUUGCUGAUCCUUGAUGUGAUAAGAUGUUUCUACAUUUUGGAUUUAGCACUGUCCCUUGGACGCCUGCUCCUAACUAGUUGUCUCUUGGACAAUGAUGGUGCUCCUGGUCACCGCCAUCCACAUUGGCGGGAGGCUGGACCCACAAAAGAAAAACCUUGACCUCAAAUCGGGUGAGACUACCCGCUGAACUUAAGCAUAU